AUACGUAGGGAGCGAGCGUUGUCCGGAAUUACUGGGCGUAAAGCGCGCGUAGGUGGUUCAGUCAGUCAGAUGUGAAAGCCCCGGGCUCAACCUGGGAACUGCACCUGAUACUGCUGAGCUAGAGUACGGUAGAGGGCAGUGGAAUUUCCGGUGUAGCGGUGAAAUGCGUAGAGAUCGGAAGGAACACCAGUGGCGAAGGCGACUGCCUGGACUGAUACUGACACUGAGGUGCGAAAGCGUGGGUAGCAAACAGGAUUAGAUACCCUGGUAGUCCACGCCGUAAACGAUGUCAACUAGCCGUUGGGGGACUUGAUCCUUUAGUGGCGAAGCUAACGCGAUAAGUUGACCGCCUGGGGAGUACGGCCGCAAGGUUAAAACUCAAAUGAAUUGACGGGG
rnacentral:rRNA from 1 species